rnacentral:rRNA from 1 species
UACGGAGGAUCCGAGCGUUAUCCGGAUUUAUUGGGUUUAAAGGGUGCGUAGGCGGCUUUUUAAGUCAGGGGUGAAAGACGGCAGCUCAACUAUCGCAGUGCCUUUGAUACUGAUAGGCUUGAAUGUACUUGAGGUAGGCGGAAUGUGACAAGUAGCGGUGAAAUGCAUAGAUAUGUCACAGAACACCAAUUGCGAAGGCAGCUUACUAAAGUAUGAUUGACGCUGAGGCACGAAAGCGUGGGGAUCAAACAGG